GCUUCUUGUUGUUCUAUGAUCCGCAUCCGCACAAUGUGUUCUCUAUUAUAUGCUGCUAUUGCAGCAGCAACAUUAGGGACCGAUUAAUUCGGAGUAAAAUUCUGUGUGCAUAUUGAUUAUGACGAUAUGUUGAAAGGUCUUGACUAACUACGUGCCAGCAGUCGCGGUAAUACGUAAGAGACCAGUGUUAUUCAUCUUAAAUGGGUUUAAAGGGUACUUAGACGGAAAUUUUAGCCAAAGCGGUACAUUUUUUCUAGAGUUUUAUAUAAGAAGGUAGUACUAUAGAGUGUAGAGAUGAAAUCCUUUGAUACCUAUGGGACUGGUAAGGGCGAAGGCAACCUUUUAUCUUAAAACUGACGUCGAAGGACGAAGGCAUGGAUCACUAACAGGAUUAGGUACCCUAGUAGUCUUUGCAGAAAAUUAUGAAUGUCAUAGAUUAGGUUACGUAUAUACACGUGUAUCUAGGUGUGAGUGGUGGGUAGAAAUAAAAUAAAAUAAACCAACCACUUAAGUACAUAAUUAAUUAUGUAUUAUGUAUUAAUUGUAUUUAACCUUCCAUUAAAGGAAGGUUAAGUAUCGUUGCGACCUGGGUAUUUUAGUCUAUAAAUGAAAGUGUAAGCAUUUCACCUCAAGAGUAGUGCGGCAACGCAGAAACUGAAAUCAUAUGAGCAUGAGCGAAAGAGGAGAUCAUUUGUUCCAC
rnacentral:rRNA from 1 species